rfam:Triticum aestivum genome assembly, contig: Triticum_aestivum_CS42_TGACv1_scaffold_112392_2AS
UACGUAUUCCCUCCGUUUCAAAAUACUUGACUUCCAUUUGUCCAAAAAUGAAUGUAUCUAUAUACUAAAACAUGUCUAGAUACAUUUAUAUUUUAACAAAUGAAAGUCAUGUAUGAUGGAAAGGAGGGAGUAUGUA